CCUACGGGCGGCAGCAGUGGGGAAUAUUGGACAAUGGGGGGAACCCUGAUCCAGCCAUGCCGCGUGUGUGAAGAAGGCCCUCGGGUUGUAAAGCACUUUCAGUGAGGAAGAACGCCUGGUGGUUAAUACCCAUCAGGAAAGACAUCACUCGCAGAAGAAGCACCGGCUAACUCCGUGCCAGCAGCCGCGGUAAUACGGAGGGUGCGAGCGUUAAUCGGAAUUACUGGGCGUAAAGCGCGCGUAGGUGGCUUGAUAAGCCGGUUGUGAAAGCCCCGGGCUCAACCUGGGAACGGCAUCCGGAACUGUCAAGCUAGAGUGCAGGAGAGGAAGGUAGAAUUCCAGGUGUAGCGGUGAAAUGCGUAGAGAUCGGGAGGAAUACCAGUGGCGAAGGCGGCCUUCUGGACUGACACUGACACUGAGGUGCGAAAGCGUGGGUAGCAAACAGGAUUAGAUACCCGUGUAGUC
rnacentral:rRNA from 1 species